CCGGGCGAUGCGACCCGUUUCACCCUCCUGCACCGCCCUUUUUACCCGCAAAAUGGGAGCAGUCCCGUGCCCCCCUCUCAGGGCUACCCUUCUCACGGGGACACUUGGCGCAGGCUUGGCGACGGCAGAUGCAGUCGGCGAUUAAACCCGCCGCUAUAUUUUUCUUUUUACGGAGGCGUGCUCCGCCUGGGACUUUUCGCCGAGCAAAACAAACCAAAAUAAAUCUAGAAAAAACAUCAAUCGAAAAGAAACUUCAGCCUUUCGGGGAAAUUCUCAAAAUCCAAUACAACCUCCGCCCGCCGCCGAAACUGGACUCAUUAGCAGAGUCUACACAUGGAUAAUACUGAAGAUUUGCUUGGUGAAGCAGAACGUGUUGUGAAGAUUGCUUACUCUUUUUUUCUAUUGAAGUUCUUGCACUGAACGGGAUCAUCCAUGUCAUCCAAAGAUGUGGUGCAAUACUUAAUUAAGCUGGCAAGCACAUAAAAAGCCCUGCUUGUCCUUCCUAAGCUGAAAUCCUCUUGCCGCUGAUACCCAGCCUGUUUCUGCACGAGGCAGGCGGUGUUUCUCUCUGGUGAGGGGCUGGGGGCUGCUGGGGAGCAGAAAUGAGAGGAGAGAGCUUCUUGCCGACAGCUGGACAAGACGCUGCAUGCUGGCCCGCAGCACUCAAGGUACCACUUCACAUCAGUUCAGACCCAGUUGUGGUCCUGUUUCUGCACGAGAAGAGACCUCGGGGGCCUCCUGCUUCCCUGGCCUCCCGGGAAAUGUUGCACUCCGGCUUUGUGAAACGGAUAUCUGGGACAAUUUUUUAUGCUGCAGCAAUUGCCGUCAUGUUCCGUUUUGCCUGUGGUUGUGGUCUGAAGUGCUGUAGUUGAAUAGAUAGCUCUGUCCAGCCUUAUUCUUUGGGACCCCUUCAUCUGUACAGCAUGGUUUACUCAAUGCAGUAGUGAAAAUGAAAGAUAAACUGCAUUAUCACUAGUAGUCACAGAAACAUGACUGUUUUCGGCGAUGUUUUGUCAAUAAACACUAGGGCAGAACAACUUAACAUCAGACGUUGCAAAGUCCUGAUUGCACAGAACAGAGAGGUAGAAAAAACGGGAAAAAACACCUGAUCAGUGUUAUCACUGAUAUUUUACAUUCACGCACAUCUCAGUACAGACGUAUGCAAACUUUUCUAGGUAAAUGCUCCUGAAGGUUUCUACAAUAAUUUUAUUUGCCUUUCAAAACAACCCAGGCUUCAGGAUUUAUUAAUGCAGCAAUUAGUAUGCUGAUCAUGCCCAGCAUGCUUAAAUCUUUAUUGGCUGUAUGCACCACCGAAAGUUUUAGUUUUAUUAAACCUGAGCCUUCUACAUACUGCUGUUUAGUGUGUGUUACAAAACUAAGAUCAGCUCUGAAUGUAAUGUAACCCACAUGUUGGAUUGCUUGCUCCAGUGACUUACAGAAAUAUUUCAGGUAGCAAGUAUUUUCUUAGUACUCUGUUAUAAAAAUAUGUCAAGCACACAAUGUUUGCAUUAUAUGUUCCUUUUCUGUUAUAGAAAAAGAAUUGUGCACCA